rnacentral:rRNA from 1 species
CCUACGGGAGGCUGCAGUGGGGAAUAUUGCACAAUGGGGGAAACCCUGAUGCAGCGACGCCGCGUGAGUGAAGAAGUACUUCGGUAUGUAAAGCUCUAUCAGCAGGGAAGAAAAUGACGGUACCUGAGUAAGAAGCCCCGGCUAACUACGUGCCAGCAGCCGCGGUAAUACGUAGGGGGCAAGCGUUAUCCGGAUUUACUGGGUGUAAAGGGAGCGCAGACGGUUGCGCAAGUCUGAAGUGAAAUCCCGAGGCUUAACCACGGGACUGCUUUGGAAACUGUGCGACUUGAGUAUCGGAGGGGCAGGCGGAAUUCCUAGUGUAGCGGUGAAAUGCGUAGAUAUUAGGAAGAACACCGGUGGCGAAGGCGGCCUGCUGGACGAAAACUGACGUUGAGGCUCGAAGGCGUGGGGAGCAAACAGGAUU